GGGGGGGGGGUUUGAACAGUGAAAACUGUAUGCAUGUCUAUUGUGUUUUGCAGAGCAAGUGACGGGUGGGACGUUAUCUCUAUUAUGUAUUCUAUGUGAGGGUAAAGCUGAUCUCAUGGCAUUGGAACAUUGAAGCGCUUUAAAAAGAAGAAGAAAAAAAAACGGGAAUUUUAUUUGAGUUUUUUAUCGCUGAUACUAACUGAUGUAUUGUUAUGAGUUUUGUGCUAGAGAUUGAGCGGGGCAGCGGUAGGUGGGUGGGUGGGGCGGGCUAGGCAAUAUUAGUGGGCUGUUUAUAUGGUUACUGUACUUACCUAUUCUAUUUGUAUUAUGAUUUGUAAUAUUACGUUGCUUUUUUGAACUGAGAAAAAGAUGUAAUGACAUUAAUUCAUGAGACUGAAUCUUGACCUUUUUAUGGACAACAAAAUAAAAAAAGAUCACUUAUGUACAAAAAUGUGACACUGACCAUAUUAUUAUUUUUAUUUGUGUACAGUACAUAAUGUAACAAGAUCUGUUAGACAGUGAUACAAAAAUUGCAAUACUUAUACAUACACAAAGAUUUACCAUUGGGAUGAAUUACUCUGUAAACCGGUGAUGUUGGGUUUACGAUAUUAAUAUAAACUCCUACAAAGUCUCUUCCUAGAUUGAGAGAAUAAAUGCAGAUAAUGUCCAGUUAUAUAAAUCAUGACAUUU